GAUAAACGCUGGCGGCGCGCAUAAGACAUGCAAGUUGAACGGACUUAAUCGAAAUAUUUAUAUUUUGAAGCGGUUAGUGGCGGACUGGUGAGUAACGCGUAAGGAACCUGCCUAUUAGAGGGGAAUAACAGUGAGAAAUCAUUGCUAAUACCGCAUAUGCCAUAGAUAUCACAUGAUAACAGUGGGAAAGGAGCAAUCCGCUAAUAGAUGGCCUUGCGUCUGAUUAGAUAGUUGGUGGGGUAACGGCCUACCAAGUCGACGAUCAGUAGCCGGACUGAGAGGUUGAACGGCCACAUUGGGACUGAGAUACGGCCCAGACUCCUACGGGAGGCAGCAGUCGGGAAUAUUGCGCAAUGGAGGAAACUCUGACGCAGUGACGCCGCGUAUAGGAAGAAGGUUUUCGGAUUGUAAACUAUUGUCGUUAGGGAAGAGAAAGGACAGUACCUAAGGAGGAAGCUCCGGCUAACUACGUG
rnacentral:rRNA from 1 species